rnacentral:vault_RNA from 1 species
GGGUCGGAGUUAGCUCAAGCGGUUACCUCCUCAUGCCGGACUUUCUAUCUGUCCAUCUCUGUGCUGGGGUUCGAGACCCGCGGGUGCUUACUGACCCUUUUAUGCAAUAAAUUCGGUAUAAUCUGUC